GAUGAACGUUGGCGGCGUGCCUAAUACAUGCAAGUCGAGCGAACAGAUAAGGAGCUUGCUCCUUUGACGUUAGCGGCGGACGGGUGAGUAACACGUGGGUAACCUACCUAUAAGACUGGGAUAACUUCGGGAAACCGGAGCUAAUACCGGGUAAUAUUUCGAACCGCAUGGUUCGAUAGUGAAAGAUGGUUUUGCUAUCACUUAUAGAUGGACCCGCGCCGUAUUAGCUAGUUGGUAAGGUAACGGCUUACCAAGGCGACGAUACGUAGCCGACCUGAGAGGGUGAUCGGCCACACUGGAACUGAGACACGGUCCAGACUCCUACGGGAGGCAGCAGUAGGGAAUCUUCCGCAAUGGGCGAAAGCCUGACGGAGCAACGCCGCGUGAGUGAUGAAGGUCUUCGGAUCGUAAAACUCUGUUAUUAGGGAAGAACAUACGUGUAAGUAACUGUGCACGUCUUGACGGUACCUAAUCAGAAAGCCACGGCUAACUACGUGCCAGCAGCCGCGGUAAUACGUAGGUGGCAAGCGUUAUCCGGAAUUAUUGGGCGUAAAGCGCGCGUAGGCGGUUUUUUAAGUCUGAUGUGAAAGCCCACGGCUCAACCGUGGAGGGUCAUUGGAAACUGGAAAACUUGAGUGCAGAAGAGGAAAGUGGAAUUCCAUGUGUAGCGGUGAAAUGCGCAGAGAUAUGGAGGAACACCAGUGGCGAAGGCGACUUUCUGGUCCGUAACUGACGCUGAUGUGCGAAAGCGUGGGGAUCAAACAGGAUUAGAUACCCUGGUAGUCCACGCCGUAAACGAUGAGUGCUAAGUGUUAGGGGGUUUCCGCCCCUUAGUGCUGCAGCUAACGCAUUAAGCACUCCGCCUGGGGAGUACGACCGCAAGGUUGAGACUCAAAGGAAUUGACGGGGACCCGCACAAGCGGUGGAGCAUGUGGUUUAAUUCGAAGCAACGCGAAGAACCUUACCAAAUCUUGACAUCCUUUGACAACUCUAGAGAUAGAGCUUUCCCCUUCGGGGGACAAAGUGACAGGUGGUGCAUGGUUGUCGUCAGCUCGUGUCGUGAGAUGUUGGGUUAAGUCCCGCAACGAGCGCAACCCUUAAGCUUAGUUGCCAUCAUUAAGUUGGGCACUCUAAGUUGACUGCCGGUGACAAACCGGAGGAAGGUGGGGAUGACGUCAAAUCAUCAUGCCCCUUAUGAUUUGGGCUACACACGUGCUACAAUGGACAAUACAAAGGGCAGCGAAACCGCGAGGUCAAGCAAAUCCCAUAAAGUUGUUCUCAGUUCGGAUUGUAGUCUGCAACUCGACUACAUGAAGCUGGAAUCGCUAGUAAUCGUAGAUCAGCAUGCUACGGUGAAUACGUUCCCGGGUCU
rnacentral:rRNA from 1 species